ACUAACACACCAUAGUAAAGCAAUUAUACUCCAAUAAAGAUGUAAAAAGAAUAAAUAAAUUCCAUUGUUAUUUAUAAAAAAAAAAGAAAAGAAAUCACCCCCUAUAGUUUUUGCAUUUCAGAAACAAGGUCACUGGCCAAUAAACCAGAGGCAAACGGACACAAUUAUCAGACUGCCGGACCCCAAUUACCGGGAUGGCCUGACGCCAGCUAUGACUGUUUUGAAAUAAUGCAAAGGAAAGGAAGAAUGCAAGACCUUCACUACUUUGAUCCUUAUCAUAGACCCCGGACUGCGAGCCUCACAUAUAAAAUCUUCCCUGAUUCCCAAGGAGGGGGGGCACAGCUCUGGAGGCGCUAGCCUGCUGUGUCUUCCCUUCUGCCUGGCAGAAAAAUAAAGCCAUCUCUCUCUUCCUCCAAAAUCCCUGUCUCUGUAUUUCGGUUCGGCCUCGGUGCACAGGGAAGCUGAUGCUUCGGCAACAAAAUGGGGGCUCGUCCGGGGUCUGCUCGCGUACAGGCAGCCCCGCAGGGCCCCUCGGCUUGAUCGGAAGCUCGGGGAUCUCUCUGCACGCCAGGCUCCUUCGGGAGAGCGGAGGGUUGGAGGAUUUCUCUGAGGCCAGAUCGCCAGGGACUCCCUGCUGCAGGGCUGCGCCCCAUCACACCCGGCCUGUCGGCUGCGGCGGAGAACGGGGGAGAGGCUGACCUAGCAGCUGCCGAGGCUCAUUUUGCCUUGAGGACACCUUCUCUUCUCUUGGCCGCGCCGGCCUGGACUUCCACUCCGAGAAAACACUGAAUAUUGGAGGAUCAGAAAGAGGACGUAGGGAAGUCGCGACGCACCCGUCAGCACCUAUGAUUGGAAACUCUUAGGUCCCCAGCACCUUUAUCAGAUAAAUUAGGAAGGCUACCUCACUAACAGGUACAGAAAUCUCAAGGUAUUUUCGGGACCUUGAAAAGGGAGGAAUUCACCUAUAUCUGGUAAGCGAAAUCUGUGACAAGCCUUUGGUGGGACUUUCCUGAGAGGUCUUUUAAAAGUUCAGUCUGAGACUCCUUAUAAAAGUUUCAGGAAGCAAAAAGCCUAUAUGAUACAAUACAGUUGUAUAAAUCAUCAGGCCAAGUUUAUUGACACCAGACUGAAAUUUGGUUCUCUCUCUCUGUUAGAGAACAAAGUUUUCUUGGGAUGCUGCUUUAAUAACAGACUAUGUAAAUUUCUUUGCCUUUAAGUGACUUACAUUUGCUUUUAAAAUCUUUUGUUACUUAGGUAAAGUAAAUAAGUACUAUCUCUCGAUGAUCUAUGAAGAUCGCGGCCCGCAUAGAUAAAGUUCAUUCUGCUUCUACAAAAAUUAACCUCUCAUUGUCAGACUUUUGCCAUCCUGACUGUCCUUAAACAUGACAACAGUCCACUCCUAAAUCAGGGAAUUUAAAAUGGGUAAACAAUAGCUGUCAAUCAAACAGUCAGGGCUAUGCAAAAUCCAAAAGGGCUGCCUGGCUUUUUCCGGCUCCCUGAUAAACCUCAUUUUUUAUUUGAUGGGAUAAAGCCUUCCCUGGUUGCGGGGUUAAUGCCCUCACAAUGAAGAAAAUCAAUUAUGUUUUACUGAAUAUUAAAUUCUAGGUUUGUUCAUUAAGGUCUGUGUUUACCAAGACUCACUUCCCAGAUAGUUCCUUGCAGUUAUGUUCUAUUGCUAAAAAGUUUAAUUGAAUUAUUGAAGGGCACUCUAAGUUUGUUUCUAAAGCUUAUCUCCGUCAUUUUUCUUUGGAUGAAGAUCAGAUGGCCCACGACCUACAACCAGGGGAUUAUACAUACUGGAAAAGACAUGAUUUAAAGGACUAUCUCCAGACUGGAUGGAAGGACCCUUAUCAGGUACUCUUAACUAGCUCGUACACAGUAAAACUAAAGGGAAUUAACUCUUGGAUUAACUUCCACUCACAAAGGGCCCCUGCACUGGACUGGCCUAUAGAGAGGAUGGCUGACCUCAAAAUCACCUUAAAACAACGCUCAAACAGAGGCGAAACUGCACUCACACGAGGAUGAGAAAAAGACAACAUCAGAAGUAGACGGCUUCCCCAAGAUCCUGGACCUGACUCAUACGCUCAUUUAUAAUGUUUUCUUGACUUCUUGGACCUUUGCAUAUGAAUCAAAUGUUUUUCUAUCAUAG